rnacentral:rRNA from 1 species
GAUGAACGCUGGCGGCGUGCCUAAUACAUGCAAGUCGAGCGAAUGGAUUAAGAGCUUGCUCUUAUGAAGUUAGCGGCGGACGGGUGAGUAACACGUGGGUAACCUGCCCAUAAGACUGGGAUAACUCCGGGAAACCGGGGCUAAUACCGGAUAACAUUUUGAACCGCAUGGUUCGAAAUUGAAAGGCGGCUUCGGCUGUCACUUAUGGAUGGACCCGCGUCGCUUUAGCUAGUUGGUGAGGUAACGGCUCACCAAGGCAACGAUGCGUAGCCGACCUGAGAGGGUGAUCGGCCACACUGGGACUGAGACACGGCCCAGACUCCUACGGGAGGCAGCAGUAGGGAAUCUUCCGCAAUGGACGAAAGUCUGACGGAGCAACGCCGCGUGAGUGAUGAAGGCUUUCGGGUCGUAAAACUCUGUUGUUAGGGAAGAGCAAGUGCUAGUUGAAUAAGCUGGCACCUUGACGGUACCUAACCAGAAAGCCACGGCUAACUACGUGCCAGCCGCCGCUGUAA